rnacentral:rRNA from 1 species
AUGAACGCUGGCGGCGUGCCUAAUACCUGCAAGUCGAGCGAACAGACGAGGAGCUUGCUCCUCUGACGUUAGCGGCGGACGGGUGAGUAACACGUGGAUAACCUACCUAUAAAACUGGGAUAACUUCGGGAAACCGGAGCUAAUACCGGAUAAUAUAUUGAACCGCAUGGUUCAAUAGUGAAAGACGGUUUUGCUGUCACUUAUAGAUGGAUCCGCGCCGCAUUAGCUAGUUGGUAAGGUAACGGCUUACCAAGGCGACGAUGCGUAGCCGACCUGAGAGGGUGAUCGGCCACACUGGAACUGAGACACGGUCCAGACUCCUACGGGAGGCAGCAGUAGGGAAUCUUCCGCAAUGGGCGAAAGCCUGACGGAGCAACGCCGCGUGAGUGAUGAAGGUCUUCGGAUCGUAAAACUCUGUUAUUAGGGAAGAACAAAUGUGUAAGUAACUAUGCACGUCUUGACGGUACCUAAUCAGAAAGCCACGGCUAACUACGUG